GGGCCCAUAGCUCAGGGGUAGAGCGCUCGCUUUGCAUUCUCUCUCUGCGUCUGCGAGAGGCCUGGGGUUCAAAUCCCCAUGGGUCCA